AGAGUUUGAUCCUGGCUCAGAUUGAACGCUGGCGGCAUGCCUAACACAUGCAAGUCGAACGGAAACGAUGCUAGCUUGCUAGCAGGCGUCGAGUGGCGGACGGGUGAGUAAUGCAUAGGAAUCUACCUAAUAGUGGGGGACAACCUGGUGAAAACCAGGCUAAUACCGCAUAAUCCCUACGGGGCAAAGCAGGGGACCUUUGGGCCUUGCGCUAAUAGAUGAGCCUAUGUCGGAUUAGCUAGUUGGUGAGGUAAUGGCUCACCAAGGCGACGAUCCGUAGCUGGUUUGAGAGAAUGAUCAGCCACACUGGGACUGAGACACGGCCCAGACUCCUACGGGAGGCAGCAGUGGGGAAUAUUGCACAAUGGAGGAAACUCUGAUGCAGCAAUGCCGCGUGUGUGAAGAAGGCCUUAGGGUUGUAAAGCACUUUCAGUAGGGAGGAAAAGUUUGAGGUUAAUAACCUUAGGCCCUGACGUUACCUACAGAAGAAGCACCGGCUAACUCCGUGCCAGCAGCCGCGGUAAUACGGAGGGUGCAAGCGUUAAUCGGAAUUACUGGGCGUAAAGCGCGCGUAGGCGGUUAAUUAAGUCAGAUGUGAAAGCCCUGGGCUCAACCUGGGAACUGCAUUUGAAACUGGUUAACUAGAGUAUGGUAGAGGAGAGUGGAAUUUCAGGUGUAGCGGUGAAAUGCGUAGAGAUCUGAAGGAACACCAGUGGCGAAGGCGGCUCUCUGGACCAAUACUGACGCUGAGGUGCGAAAGCGUGGGUAGCAAACGGGAUUAGAUACCCCGGUAGUCCACGCCGUAAACGAUGUCAACUAACUGUUGGGCGGGUUACCGCUUAGUGGUGCAGCUAACGUAUUAAGUUGACCGCCUGGGGAGUACGGCCGCAAGGCUAAAACUCAAAUGAAUUGACGGGGGCCCGCACAAGCGGUGGAGCAUGUGGUUUAAU
rnacentral:rRNA from 1 species